UACGGGGGGAGCAAGCGUUGUUCGGAUUUACUGGGCGUAAAGGGCGCGUAGGCGGCUUUGCAAGUGACGGGUGAAAUCCCUCGGCUUAACCGAGGAACUGCCUGUCAAACUGCAUGGCUUGAGACCGGGAGAGGUGAGUGGAAUUCCCAGUGUAGCGGUGAAAUGCGUAGAUAUUGGGAGGAACACCAGUGGCGAAGGAGGCUCACUGGACCGGUACUGACGCUGAUGCGCGAAAGCGUGGGGAGCAAACAGG
rnacentral:rRNA from 1 species